UACGGAGGGUGCAAGCGUUAUCCGGAUUCACUGGGUUUAAAGGGAGCGUAGGUGGGCAGGUAAGUCAGUGGUGAAAUCUCUGGGCUCAACCCGGAAACUGCCAUUGAUACUAUUUGUCUUGAAUAUUCUGGAGGUAAGCGGAAUAUGUCAUGUAGCGGUGAAAUGCUUAGAUAUGACAUAGAACACCAAUUGCGUAGGCAGCUUACUACGGAACUAUUGACACUGAGGCUCGAAAGCGUGGGGAUCAAACAGGAUUAGAAACCGAGUAGUCC
rnacentral:rRNA from 1 species